rnacentral:rRNA from 1 species
UACGUAGGUGGCGAGCGUUGUCCGGAUUUACUGGGCGUAAAGGGCGUGCAGGCGGUUUGUUAAGUGCAGGGUGAAAGCUCCCGGCUCAACUGGGAGAGGUCCUUGCAUACUGGCGAACUCGAGGGAGGCAGAGGAAAGUGGAAUUCCCGGUGUAGUGGUGAUAUGCGUAGAUAUCGGGAGGAACACCUGUGGCGAAGGCGGCUUUCUGGGCCUUACCUGACGCUGAGACGCGAAAGCGUGGGAGGCGAACCGG